rnacentral:rRNA from 1 species
UACGAAGGGGGCUAGCGUUGUUCGGAUUUACUGGGCGUAAAGCGCACGUAGGCGGAUCUUUAAGUCAGAGGUGAAAUCCCAAGGCUCAACCUUGGAACUGCCUUUGAUACUGGUGAGCUUGAGUCCGGAAGAGGUGAGUGGAACUGCGAGUGUAAGAGGUGAAAUUCGUAGAUAUUCGCAAGAACACCAGUGGCGAAGGCGGCUCAGCUGGUCCGGUACUGACGCGUGAGGUG